GUCAGGAUGGCCGAGUGGUCUAAGGCGCCGCACUCAAGUUGCGGUCUUCUAACGAGGGCGUGGGUUCAAAUCCCACUUCUGACA
rfam:Arabis alpina cultivar Pajares Aa.chr2_contig_9, whole genome shotgun sequence.